rnacentral:rRNA from 1 species
GCCCAAGAGAUCGGGAUAACACCUGGAAACAGAUGCUAAUACCGGAUAACAACAGAUGAUGACUAUCAACUGUUUAAAAGAUGGUUCUGCUAUCACUCUUGGAUGGACCUGCGGUGCAUUAGCUAGUUGGUAGGGUAACGGCCUACCAAGGCGAUGAUGCAUAGCCGAGUUGAGAGACUGAUCGGCCACAUUGGGACUGAGACACGGCCCAAACUCCUACGGGAGGCAGCAGAC